UACGGAGGGUGCAAGCGUUAUUCGGAAUUACUGGGCGUAAAGAGCGCGUAGGUGGCUUACUAAGUCUAAUGUGAAAGCCCUGGACUCAAUCCAGGAAGUGCAUCGGAUACUGGUAGGCUAGAGUAGAGGAGAGGAGAGCGGAAUUCCAGGUGUAGAGGUGAAAUUCGUAGAUAUCUGGAGGAACAACAGAGGCGAAGGCGGUUCUCUGGACUCUAACUGACACUGAGGCGCGAUAGCGUGGGGAGCAAACAGG
rnacentral:rRNA from 1 species